AUUUUUCAGUCUGUUUCAGAGAAACCCUUCUAUAUAAUAUAUAUCUUUUUCUUCUUCUUCUUCUUCCAUGGAGAUGUCUAGGAGAUGCAAGGAAAAGCAAUCCUCUGAGAGGAGAGUUAUCGCAGGAGAAGCAAAGACGAUGAUCCAUGAUAGGAUUCCUACAGAGGAAGUGAUGAAGCUAGCUGCCAUUGCAAUCAGCUUAAAUGUGCGGCCGAGAUCAUCCGAUAUGCCACUGCAUAUGCAAGAACGUGCUUUUCGCUAUGCAAGAUCUUUUCUUGACUCAGCUCCAAAACACCGCCCCAAUCCAACCCACCUUGCUCGAGCCCUUAAAAAGGUCCGUCGUCCCUCUCUCUAUCUAUCUCUCCUCCUCUGUGGGCUCUGACUUUGGACUGCUUACAGGAGUUUGACUCGGCCUACGGGCUAGCAUGGCACUGUGUAGUGGGGACGAGUUUCGGAUCGUUUGUGACUCACUCAGCGGGUGGGUUCGUGUACUUCUGUGUAGAGCCGC
rnacentral:misc_RNA from 1 species